AACGAACGCUGGCGGCAGGCUUAACACAUGCAAGUCGAGCGGGCACCUUCGGGUGUCAGCGGCGAACGGGUGAGUAACGCGUGGGAACGUGCCCUUUCCUCCGGAAUAGCCUCGGGAAACUGAGAUUAAUGCCGGAUACGCCCUUUUGGGGAAAGAUUUAUCGGGGAAGGAUCGGCCCGCGUUGGAUUAGGUAGUUGGUGGGGUAAUGGCCUACCAAGCCGACGAUCCAUAGCUGGUUUGAGAGGAUGAUCAGCCACACUGGGACUGAGACACGGCCCAGACUCCUACGGGAGGCAGCAGUGGGAAUCUUGGACAAUGGGGGCAACCCUGAUCCAGCCAUGCCGCGUGAUCGAUGAAGGCCUUAGGGUUGUAAAGAUCUUUCAGCUGGGAAGAUAAUGACGGUACCAGCAGAAGAAGCCCCGGCUAACUCCGUG
rnacentral:rRNA from 1 species